rnacentral:rRNA from 1 species
CAAGGAAUUUUCGUCAAUGGGGGCAACCCUGAACGAGCAACGCCGCGUGGGUGAAGAAGUCUUUCGGGAUGUAAAACCCUUUUCUGUGGGAAGAAGGAAAGACGGUACCACAGGAAUAAGCAUCGGCUAACUACGUGCCAGCAGCCGCGGUAAUACGUAGGAUGCAAGCGUUGUCCGGAAUUAUUGGGCGUAAAGGGUGCGCAGGCGGUUUUUCAAGUCAGAUGUGAAAUCUCCCGGCUUAACUGGGAGGGGCCAUUUGAAACUGGAGGACUAGAGUGCAGGAGAGGAUAGCGGAAUUCCCGGUGUAGUGGUGAAAUGCGUAGAUAUCGGGAGGAACACCAGUGGCGAAGGCGGCUAUCUGGCCUGCAACUGACGCUGAGGCACGAAGGCUAGGGGAGCGAAC